GAUGAAGAACGCAGCGAAAUGCGAUACGUAAUGUGAAUUGCAGAAUUCAGUGAAUCAUCGAAUCUUUGAACGCAUAUUGCGCUCUCUGGUAUUCCGGAGAGCAUGCUUGUUUGAGUAUCAGUAAACACCUCAACUUCCAUAUCUUUUUUGAAAUGGGAGUUGGACUUGAGUGAUCCCAACGCUUUUCCUCACCUAAAAGUGGCGGGUUACUUGAAAUGCAGGUGCAGCUGGACUUUUCUCUGAGCUAUAAGCAUAUCUAUUUAGUCUGCCUAAAAAACAGAUUAUUACCUUUGCUGCAGCUAACAUAAAGGAGAUUAGUUCUUGUGCUGACUGAUGCAGGAUUCACAAAGACAGCUUCGGCCGACUUUGUAAACUCGAUCUCAAAUCAAGUAAGACUACCCGCUGAACUUAAGCAUAUCAAUAAGCGGAGGA
rnacentral:misc_RNA from 1 species